GAGAGCCGGUGCAGCCCUGGCUGGAGGCACCGGCGAGGAAGAAGGGCUUCUUCAGCCCGACCCCGCCUUCAUCGCCGCCCGCGGAAUCGGCCUUUGCACGGCGGCGUGAUUUGCAUGAGCGCGAUGAACACAGAACACAGCGGCUGCGCAGGGCCCCGGUAGAACCCCGUUUGGAACACGCUGGUGCUGGGGUACCUCGUACAGGCGGAACUUCCUUAGCAUCAGUUUCUGCCCUGUGGUCCUAUUGCUUGGCACCACCGAGCAGAGGCUGGCUCUUCAAAUGAUGCGCAGGAAGUUCCAGUUGAAUACAGGCAGAACGUCUUUACUCUGCAGAAAUUCUUAAUUCUCUGUACUGUCAUGAAAUACCACGAGACAGUCAUUACCUUGCCAUGAAGAAAAGGCAGUUUGGAAGGCCUGUGUUGUUCAGUGUUUCUGUGCUGAUGAACUUUGGCUGAUAAGGCAGCAGGAUCAAAAAAUUACUCUGCUUUUCUAAAAAGCUACAUAAAAUCCCAUUAUGGUCAGUGGAAGACAUUCAACUCUUCAGAGCACCCAGGAUAUCACCCCCAGCUACUUAAAAAGAUGCCAAAAGACAUCAAGCUUUGUCAUGAGAAAGCUAAACAGCUAAAAUUCUUCAGUGAACGCUUUGAAGUUGCUUGGAAUUCUCUAUACCUUAGUAAGUAGGUCAAACCAAAGACUGCCAGAUAGCUUCCUGUCACUAAAUUUGGGCCAACUGUGGCUGUACCAAACAUGAGCUAUAACAUGUUCUUAGUGAUAUUAUGCAAUUACACUUCUGUCAUGUAUGUGGUUCAUUUUAGUGAUAAUCUAGGUACCAGUUUAUGUAAUAACUUAAUGAUCUAUGCACAAAAGAUAGACUACAGCAUACAUUUAAUAUUGUUUGUUACAAAGCUUGUGUAACAAAAGCUCACUAACUUUUAAAUACCUUCUCUCUAAUAAAGAUACUGAUAAGACUUAGUUCUGAAUUACGACUUAAAAGAAGGCAUUUCUUAUGAGAAAUAGGUUGGCUAAUAGAAAGCCUGAGUUGCAGAACACUUUGUAACCAUCACUUCCCUCACACUGAUUUCCAUGUUCUUAGAUGGCCAUUUUAUAAAUAGCUAUGGUAAGGAAACAGUCAGCUCUGCUUAGGAAAUCACAAAGGAUGUGUGUUUCAGUGAGUCUCCACUACAAGCUGGUUCAAGGUGCUUCAUUUUGAUGCCCUUCACUAGUCUAAUCACUUGUUGUUUUCUUUGAUCUGCAGCAACAGUUGACUGAAGUUCACAAGACAAAUGUAAACUUAAAUUUCUUCAUAAAACCUUAACUAAAGUUCAGAUGUGUCUUCUGGCACCAUCUUUUUGUGCCAACAGAAGUCAGCCUUAAUUUUUAAAGUGUAAGUUGUUUCUAAGGAAGUGAAAGCCUAAAAUAGAAUCAAACUGAUACUACUUUAACAGAGUAGGCAGCUCUGGCUAAGGCCUUACAAGAUUAUCCUUACGAUCACAUGAGAGUGGAAAACAUACUUAUAGAAUAGGGCAAACCAAGGGCAGAUGGACUCUCCCAGGAAACAGGCAUCCAGCCCCAAAGCUCUGCAGCCAAGAGAGUCGCAACACAUGCGCCACAUCCAGUAGUGAAGAUACUGCCCCAUGUGCACACAUCUAUUUCUGAAGGGACUCCAUUUCAAAUUAGUAGUUUCCAAGAACUUCAAGAACAAAAUUCAGUCCCUUGACAAAGAAAACACUGUACUAAUGUUGUUUUCAGAACUGUGAACAACUACUGUUGGACUUACUCAGCUUCCAAGUGUCAGUUUUCUGUAUAAAUGUCUAGACAGGACAAGAGGAACCCAGGGGUGACAAUACUAUGUAUCCAUACUGAAUUCAUUCCAAAAAGGCUACAGUAGGAAAGACUUAGUUUUCAAAAAUUUCUGCAUGUAUUUUCCUCAUUCUGACAAUAAGAAUAUUAGUAGGCCAGAGACCAUUCUGCAAGUAUAGGAGGACUGUCACUGUGUGUUUUCCCCAUACUGUCAUCCCCUAAAGUGGAAACUGCAGUAUCCUUCUGCA